rnacentral:rRNA from 1 species
AUUGAACGCUGGCGGCAUGCUUUACACAUGCAAGUCGAACGGCAGCACGGGCUUCGGCCUGGUGGCGAGUGGCGAACGGGUGAGUAAUGCAUCGGAACGUGCCCAUUUGUGGGGGAUAACUACGCGAAAGCGUGGCUAAUACCGCAUACGCCCUGAGGGGGAAAGCGGGGGAUUCUUCGGAACCUCGCGCAAUUGGAGCGGCCGAUGUCAGAUUAGCUUGUUGGUGAGGUAAAGGCUCACCAAGGCGACGAUCUGUAGCGGGUCUGAGAGGAUGAUCCGCCACACUGGGACUGAGACACGGCCCAGACUCCUACGGGAGGCAGCAGUGGGGAAUUUUGGACAAUGGGGGCAACCCUGAUCCAGCCAUGCCGCGUGAGUGAAGAAGGCCUUCGGGUUGUAAAGCUCUUUCAGCCGGGAAGAAAACGCACUCUCUAAUAUAGGGUGUGGAUGACGGUACCGGAAGAAGAAGCACCGGCUAACUACGUG